AGUCGGGUAAGUCUUAUACGACCAGCUCCCGCAGAACUCCCCCAGGCGAGGAAUCGAGCAAGGGUAUGCGGUCGUAGCGGUGCGAUAUAAGUCGCUUACCCU
rnacentral:SRP_RNA from 1 species